UACGAAGGGGGCUAGCGUUGUUCGGAAUUACUGGGCGUAAAGCGCGCGCAGGCGGUCCUUCAAGUCAGAGGUGAAAGCCCAGAGCUCAACUCUGGAAUGGCCUUUGAGACUAGAGGACUUGGGUACGGGAGAGGUGAGUGGAAUUCCGAGUGUAGAGGUGAAAUGCGUAGAUAUCCGGAGGAAUACCAAAGGCGAAGGCAGUGUCCUGGGGAGUGUCUGACGCUCAGGCGCGAAAGCUAGGGGAGCGAACAGG
rnacentral:rRNA from 1 species